rnacentral:rRNA from 1 species
UGGGGAAUAUUGCACAAUGGGCGCAAGCCUGAUGCAGCCAUGCCGCGUGUAUGAAGAAGGCCUUCGGGUUGUAAAGUACUUUCAGCGGGGAGGAAGGCGAUAAGGUUAAUAACCUUGUCGAUUGACGUUACCCGCAGAAGAAGCACCGGCUAACUCCGUGCCAGCAGCCGCGGUAAUACGGAGGGUGCAAGCGUUAAUCGGAAUUACUGGGCGUAAAGCGCACGCAGGCGGUCUGUCAAGUCGGAUGUGAAAUCCCCGGGCUCAACCUGGGAACUGCAUUCGAAACUGACAGGCUAGAGUCUUGUAGAGGGGGGUAGAAUUCCAGGUGUAGCGGUGAAAUGCGUAGAGAUCUGGAGGAAUACCGGUGGCGAAGGCGGCCCCCUGGACAAAGACUGACGCUCAGGUGCGAAAGCGUGGGGAGCAAACA